GGCGAACGCUGGCGGCGCGCUUAACACAUGCAAGUCGAGCGAUGAAAUUUCGACAGAUCCCUUCGGGGUGAAGAUGAAAUGGAUUAGCGGCGGACGGGUGAGUAACAAGUGAGUAACCUGCCUUUGACAUUGGGAUAGCCUCGGGAAACUGGGAUUAAUACCAAAUGACACUAACUGAUCACAUGAUCAAUUAGUAAAAGAAAUUCGGUCAAAGAUGGACUCGCGGCUGAUUAGCUAGUUGGUGAGGUAACGGCCCACCACGGCGACGAUCAGUAGCCGGCCUGAGAGGGUGAUCGGCCACAUUGGAACUGAGACACGGUCCAAACUCCUACGGGAGGCAGCAGUGGGGAAUAUUGCACAAUGGGGGAAACCCUGAUGCAGCGACGCCGCGUGAGCGAAGAAGGCCUUCGGGUCGUAAAGCUCUUUUAUGAGGGAAGAUAAUGACGGUACCUCAAGAAAAAGCCCCGGCUAACUACGUG
rnacentral:rRNA from 1 species